UACGGAGGGGACUAGCGUUGUUCGGAAUUACUGGGCGUAAAGCGCACGUAGGCGGAUUUGUAAGUCAGGGGUGAAAUCCCGGGGCUCAACCUCGGAACUGCCUUCGAUACUGGCAAUCUCGAGUCCGGAAGAGGUUGGUGGAACAGCUAGUGUAGAGGUGAAAUUCGUAGAUAUUAGCUAGAACACCAGUGGCGAAGGCGGCCAACUGGUCCGGUACUGACGCUGAGGUGCGAAAGCGUGGGGAGCAAACAGG
rnacentral:rRNA from 1 species